rnacentral:rRNA from 1 species
CAUACCUAUAACGUUGCCUCGGCGGGAACAGACGGCCCCGUAACACGGGCCGCCCCCGCCAGAGGACCCCCUAACUCUGUUUCUAUAAUGUUUCUUCUGAGUAAACAAGCAAAUAAAUUAAAACUUUCAACAACGGAUCUCUUGGCUCUGGCAUCGAUGAAGAACGCAGCGAAAUGCGAUAAGUAAUGUGAAUUGCAGAAUUCAGUGAAUCAUCGAAUCUUUGAACGCACAUUGCGCCCGCCAGUAUUCUGGCGGGCAUGCCUGUUCGAGCGUCAUUACAACCCUCAGGCCCCCGGGCCUGGCGUUGGGGAUCGGCGGAAGCCCCCUGCGGGCACAACGCCGUCCCCCAAAUACAGUGGCGGUCCCGCCGCAGCUUCCAUUGCGUAGUAGCUAACACCUCGCAACUGGAGAGCGGCGCGGCCACGCCGUAAAACACCCAACUUCUGAAUGUUGACCUCGAAUCAGGUAGGAAUACCCGCUGAACUUAAGCAUAUCAAUAAG